rnacentral:rRNA from 1 species
UAAUACAUGCAAGUCGAGCGAACAGACGAGGAGCUUGCUCCUCUGACGUUAGCGGCGGACGGGUGAGUAACACGUGGAUAACCUACCUAUAAGACUGGGAUAACUUCGGGAAACCGGAGCUAAUACCGGAUAAUAUAUUGAACCGCAUGGUUCAAUAGUGAAAGACGGUUUUGCUGUCACUUAUAGAUGGAUCCGCGCCGCAUUAGCUAGUUGGUAAGGUAACGGCUUACCAAGGCAACGAUGCGUAGCCGACCUGAGAGGGUGAUCGGCCACACUGGAACUGAGACACGGUCCAGACUCCUACGGGAGGCAGCAGUAGGGAAUCUUCCGCAAUGGGCGAAAGCCUGACGGAGCAACGCCGCGUGAGUGAUGAAGGUCUUCGGAUCGUAAAACUCUGUUAUCAGGGAAGAACAAAUGUGUAAGUAACUAUGCACGUCUUGACGGUACCUAAUCAGAAAGCCACGGCUAACUACGUGCCAGCAGCCGCGGUAAUACGUAGGUGGCAAGCGUUAUCCGGAAUUAUUGGGCGUAAAGCGCGCGUAGGCGGUUUUUUAAGUCUGAUGUGAAAGCCCACGGCUCAACCGUGGAGGGUCAUUGGAAACUGGAAAACUUGAGUGCAGAAGAGGAAAGUGGAAUUCCAUGUGUAGCGGUGAAAUGCGCAGAGAUAUGGAGGAACACCAGUGGCGAAGGCGACUUUCUGGUCUGUAACUGAC